CAAUAUUCCGUGAGGUACUUAUAUAUUGGUGUCUGUUUUCACACAAUUUUUCUAUUUGUAUUAUUCUCGUAUUGUUAAUACCCUGAUAUUAAUUGAAAAAGAUGGCCCAAUAGUAAAAAUUAUAAGGGUACACAGAGCCAACAGUUUGAAAAGACUUAAAGGCCGCGCUCAGCUGUGACGGAAUUGAGACUCAAAUAGUGAAAGGUUGCUAGCCGAUCGCUUACAAGAAGAAUCUGAAGUAACUAAACUUAGUUAAAUUAUACGAGUAAUUAGGGUUGCGUUUAUUAUAAUUCGUUUUUUAAAGUAUGUUUAUAUUGUUAGAUUUAAAAAUGUAUUUAUGAGCAAUAAAAUUUCAUUGGAAAAGUAAGAUUGAUAUGAAGAGGUUGGCUUAGUUAGCAGUUUUGAUUAACAAUCCAAAACCAAAAAAUAUUUAAUAUACCCAAAAUUGUUUAAACUACAUAUAAUGCUAAAUUUAGCUGCGCUAUUUAAGUGGGUAUCGAUUUAUGCUGACUAAAAUAAAUUGUGUACCACGAAAUCGCACGAACUUUAAGCUAAGUAUUAAUCACGGAUCAUUAAAUUUGAUUAAAGAAUCCAACUUUAAUGGUAUAACCCUAUUUCAUAGAUUUAAGCAGUAGUAAUUUAUUAUUUCAAAUUAUAUCUUUGAUCAAUAUGAUACCUAAUAAUCGCCGCCUACGUCGCUAUCGAUAUUAUUACUGGUUUUAAAUUAUUUCUUGUGCGAUUGGUCAUCAACAUAAUGUAUUUCUUUAAUCAUAAAAUGUAUGUUUUAAUCAUUUUUAUG